rnacentral:lncRNA from 12 species
GGGGGGGGGGGGGGGGGGGGGGGGGGGGGGGGGGGGGGGGGGGGGGGGGGGGGGGGGGGGGGGGGCCCGCACGGUGCGGGCUCGCGCGGGGGCUCAGCCGUAGAAACGAGAAACAUCCCCCCACGGCUGUGGAGAAACGCGGCUGCCUCCCCUCGCUGGCCAAGUUCAUGGCGUCGAUGGCCAUUUUGGAAAAGCUGCUGUCGGAGGAAAGGCUUUGGGAAGGAAGCGGGAGCCCGCGGGCUCUGUCAGCCGGCCAGCCCGCCGCGGAGCUGAUCCAGCUCCAGCCGCUGCCUGCUGCGGGAGCGCGGCCAGCGGGAGCGCGGGGCUGGGGCCCAGGAGAUGCUACAAGUGCUGCCCUUCCUGCCCCAUUUCGCUGCAGAAGGCACGGCAGUAUGGGGGCAAACCUGGAGCUGUGUCUCACAGACAUGAGCACGACUGUAUGUUUAAGGCAGCAAUCUGAUGGAGACAUCAGCUUAUACAACAGGAGUCCUCAGGUGCGGGAGCAAGCCGAGUGCUUGGACAUUUCUACCGCAAAGAAAAUGUAACCAAAUCUCUGCCGUUGAGCCAAAGGGAAAGCAGCAUGUGCAUCUUAGGAUGCGCUGGAUGAGGGCAAGUAUUUGCAGUGACCCAAGCAAACAUGCCAGCAUCACAUAUUCCUUCUGUGCCAGCAGCGACGAACUCUUUUGAUCUAGAAAAAGCACCAAGGUGAGGUACUGCUAUGGCGGGAUGUGUUCCCAUCCCCUCAGGGCUUUCACGAUGUGUUCCCAUCCCCUCGGGGCUUUCACGCACUUUCCCUGACACAGGGAUGUGAUGAUGCCUCCCUGGCAGAAACUCUCGCCUAACAAAUUCUUCCCACACUGUAGGGACAUGUACACCACUUCCCUGCUGUUGCAGCCUGGCUACAUUUAGAUGGGCAACGCAAACUACCUUGGGCAUUUAAUUGCCUUCCUUGGACAGAAAAAAAG